rnacentral:rRNA from 1 species
GAGUGAACGCUGGCGGUAGGCCUAACACAUGCAAGUCGAACGGCAGCACAGUAAGAGCUUGCUCUUACGGGUGGCGAGUGGCGGACGGGUGAGGAAUACAUCGGAAUCUACUUUUUCGUGGGGGAUAACGUAGGGAAACUUACGCUAAUACCGCAUACGACCUACGGGUGAAAGCAGGGGAUCUUCGGACCUUGCGCGAUUGAAUGAGCCGAUGUCGGAUUAGCUAGUUGGCGGGGUAAAGGCCCACCAAGGCGACGAUCCGUAGCUGGUCUGAGAGGAUGAUCAGCCACACUGGAACUGAGACACGGUCCAGACUCCUACGGGAGGCAGCAGUGGGGAAUAUUGGACAAUGGGCGCAAGCCUGAUCCAGCCAUACCGCGUGGGUGAAGAAGGCCUUCGGGUUGUAAAGCCCUUUUGUUGGGAAAGAAAAGCAGCAGGUUAAUACCCCGCUGUUCUGACGGUACCCAAAGAAUAAGCACCGGCUAACUACGUG